GGGAACAACAGUCAGGUGGCUGAUGCAACCGUAUAGUACAGUGAUCAUACAGUACAAUGCUUUAUUGAAAAUGACGCUUAAACCUGUUGUAAAUACAUGAUUUUCAGAUGUUAAACACGCUGCAGCGUUGCCAGCUUUUACACGUACAUAAGUUUUACACUAGUGGAAUAUGGAGGUCUUCCCUCUCGUCUUUGUUUAAGUGUGAGGUCCCACUUUUUUUUCUUUGAGAGUUGAGUAUUAAAUGGCGACAUUAGCCAAAACAAUAAAACAUACUAUUACUUGUAAUCCUUCUCCACAGAUGGACUCUCUCUCUCUCUCUCUCUCUCUCUCUCUCUCUCUGUCACGUGUGUGUGUGUGUGUGGUUGACACACCGUCAACAGGGGGAGGUCCACAGGAGCAAACACACACUUACUCUAGCAGCUUCGUCGACGUCCACCAGCAGGAAAACCACGUCACUGAACUCGGCGCUCUCUGACAGUUGCUGCAACGGAGAGGAUCGGGAGGCGUGUCCAACCACAAGAGGGGAGCGGCUUGACCAAGGGUUGCCGGAGCAACAACCUCCCUCCUCUAAAGAGAUGCUCUUCAUGGGCCUCAGGAAAAGAGCUCCUUGCAUGCUUCCUUUGGUCCAACGAUUUAAGAGCUCCUUUUAACCCCGUUAAAGGAGUCGUCCACUUACGUCAUAAUAGGGGCCGAUCAUUUUACAGGGCCCGCACCACGUGGCCUUGAACCCCACCACCACCAGUUUGUCCCCGGCAUCCUUCAGUUCUUUUUUGAACUGAUCCUACAGGAAAUAAGAAAACAGAGAAUGGCGUCUUAGUUUUAGUCACUGCUCGAUGAUGUCAGGGAUCAAUGGCUGGUUACAUAUAAACCCUUAAUCAUUUUCAUAAUAAUAACUUUGAAGCUUU